rnacentral:rRNA from 1 species
GACGAACGCUGGCGGCGUGCUUAACACAUGCAAGUCGAACGCGCCUGUCCUCUGGGUUUCUGGGGGGUGGGUGAGUGGCGAACGGGUGAGUAACACGUGAGUAACCUGCCCCCUUCUUCGGGAUAACGGUCUGAAAGGGCUGCUAAUACCGGGUAUUCACUGGUCUCCGCAUGGGGUCUGGUGGAAAGGUUUUUUUCUGGUGGGGGAUGGGCUCGCGGCCUAUCAGCUUGUUGGUGGGGUGAUGGCCCACCAAGGCUUUGACGGGUAGCCGGCCUGAGAGGGUGACCGGUAACAUUGGGACUGAGAUACGGCCCAGACUCGUACGGGAGGCAGCAGUGGGGAAGAUUGCACAAUGGGCGCAAGCCUGAUGCAGCGACGCCGCGUGAGGGAUGGAGGCCUUCGGGUUGUGAACCUCUUUCGCCCGUGGUCAAGCCGCGACGUGGGUCGUGGUGAGGGUAGUGGGUAAAGAAGCGCCGGCUAACUACGUG